AUGUGUCACUUGUUCACAUCCAAAAAGCAGUUCCUCAUUUCUUUGAACACGUUGCAAAACCUUUGGUACAUCCAUGCAAAUGAUUAUGUACAAUUCUCUGCUCUUUCCUACAUUAUCAAUUGCUUAUUUUCAUGUUGAUCAAAAUGUAUUGUAAUGGGUCUCUAUUGAAUAGUCUCACCCCCACAACAUUUAGGCAUUAGUUAAUUGCAUAGGGCUUUACAUGCAAAAUGGUUGAACAAGUCGUCAUAUUAUGUCAACCAUAUUUCUAUACAUUUCCAUUAGACUUUUUUUCUAAAUCUGUCCUGAAUUGGUAAAUUGCUCCCAGGUGCAUCUUAACUUUCUCUAAUGAAGGCAAAUGUAUGAAGCGUUAGAUCAACCAACGAUCAACCAGUUUACUGAAGUAGCUCAAAGGUGCAUCUCACGAACCAUCAAGUAUAUAUAUAUAUAGCUGGAGCACAACACAAUGUGACAAUGUUUGACAAUGGAAGGACAAGGAUUUGGACGGGGUCAACAGCCAGAGAGAAGAGGAAGAGGAGGGAGGCUGCAUGGCAGAGGAGCUGGGAGCCACAACAGAGGAAAAGGCAGAAUGCACGUUCCUGAUGAGAUAAGAGCCACACUUGUUCUCAAUCAUGGGCUUUCAAUGGCCGAGGCUGGUCGAAGGGUGCAGCCAAAUAUUGGGAGAACAACUGCGUCCUCAAUCAGUCAGACCUUUCGUCGACAGAACAGGAUUGCAAGACAACCUCACAGGGGUGGCAGAGGGACCCUUUUCACACCUGAACAGGAGCAGGCUAUUUGCACCAUGGUUGUAGAAAACAAUGCCAUAAGACAAAGGGAGAUAAAGAGUGCCAUUACAGAGGACAACAACAUCUUUGAAAACAACAGUCAGCAUCUCAACCAUUGACAGGGUGCUGAAGAGGCACCAAAUGAAUAUGAAGCAGCUGUACAAUGUUCCAUUUGAAAGAAAUGGUGAAAGAGUGAAGGAGCUGCGCUACCAGUAUGUACAGGUUAAGCACAUGAGACUGGAUUCAACCCAACGAAACACAGAAGGCGUGGUCGAAAUAUCAUCGGCUACAGAG